rnacentral:rRNA from 1 species
GGAUCCAGACUUUGAUUAUGGCUCAGGACGAACGCUGGCGGCGUGCCUAACACAUGCAAGUCGAACGGAACUUUUUUAAAAGAUUUCUUCGGAAUGAAUUUGAUUAAGUUUAGUGGCGGACGGGUGAGUAACGCGUGAGUAACCUGCCUCUAAGAGGGGAAUAACAUUCUGAAAAGAAUGCUAAUACCGCAUAAUAUAUAUUUAUCGCAUGGUAGAUAUAUCAAAGAUUUAUCGCUUAGAGAUGGACUCGCGUCCGAUUAGUUAGUUGGUGAGGUAACGGCUCACCAAGACUGCGAUCGGUAGCCGGACUGAGAGGUUGAACGGCCACAUUGGGACUGAGACACGGCCCAGACUCCUACGGGAGGCAGCAGUGGGGGAUAUUGCGCAAUGGGGGAAACCCUGACGCAGCAACGCCGCGUGAAGGAUGAAGGUCUUCGGAUUGUAAACUUCUUUUAUUAAGGACGAAGAAAGUGACGGUACUUAAUGAAUAAGCUCCGGCUAACUACGUGCCAGCAGCCGCGGUAAUACGUAGGGAGCAAGCGUUGUCCGGAUUUACUGGGUGUAAAGGGUGCGUAGGCGGCUUUGCAAGUCAGAUGUGAAAUCUAUGGGCUCAACCCAUAGCCUGCAUUUGAAACUGCAGAGCUUGAGUGAAGUAGAGGCAGGCGGAAUUCCCCGUGUAGCGGUGAAAUGCGUAGAGAUGGGGAGGAACACCAGUGGCGAAGGCGGCCUGCUGGGCUUUAACUGACGCUGAGGCACGAAAGCGUGGGUAGCAAACAGGAUUAGAUACCCUGGUAGUCCACGCUGUAAACGAUGAUUACUAGGUGUGGGGGGUCUGACCCCUUCCGUGCCGGAGUUAACACAAUAAGUAAUCCACCUGGGGAGUACGGCCGCAAGGUUGCAACUCAAAUGAAUUGACGG